GACGAGCGCUGGCGGCGUGCCUAAUACAUGCAAGUCGAACGAGAGCGACCGGUGCUUGCACUGGUCAAUCUAGUGGCGAACGGGUGAGUAACACGUGGGUAACCUGCCCAUCAGAGGGGGAUAACAUCCGGAAACGGAUGCUAAAACCGCAUAGGUCUUCGAGCCGCAUGGCUUGAAGAGGAAAAGAGGCGCAAGCUUCUGCUGAUGGAUGGACCCGCGGUGCAUUAGCUAGUUGGUGAGGUAACGGCUCACCAAGGCCGUGAUGCAUAGCCGACCUGAGAGGGUGAUCGGCCACAUUGGGACUGAGACACGGCCCAAACUCCUACGGGAGGCAGCAGUAGGGAAUCUUCCGCAAUGGACGCAAGUCUGACGGAGCAACGCCGCGUGAGUGAGGAAGGUUUUCGGAUCGUAAAACUCUGUUGUUAGAGAAGAACAAGUGCUAGAGUAACUGUUAGCGCCUUGACGGUAUCUAACCAGAAAGCCACGGCUAACUACGUG
rnacentral:rRNA from 1 species